UGGUAGGGCCACAUCUGCCAGAGCCUGGAGUCUGCGAAGGCCGGGACCCGGUUCCCCGGCCCACAGUGGGGGUGUGCAAACCCGAGAGAACUGGGUUGCAAAUUCGUGAAGAAUCAGCAUCAUGUUUGGCAGCUGAGUAUUGGAGCCAGGAGCCUGCCAUGAGGUUUUGAGAACAGAGUGCUGUUUUAGAGCUGGCAGCAGCAUCUCAGCCCAAGAGAAGCCGAUGCAGCCUCAGUGUUCCUUUGCCUUGGGGGUUUCUGAGUGGUGGGGUUGUAAGCAGAUCCUGCCAGGCACCCAGAAGGAAACCUCAUCAGGACUCCCUCAGAAAGGCCCUGAAGAAUCCUGUGACCUUCAUCUAAAGUAGGUCAUGAGACCCCUGAGCUUAAAACGGAGUGAUCGGCUUUGGAGAAGUAAGGAGACAUGACGUGCCUGCCCUGGGGUGGGGACUAAACUUCGUGCCACUCCACGUGAAAGGGGGAGGCAUGACUCCACAGUUUCUGCAACAACAGAGCCGGGGAAAGGAGGACGCAGCAAGCGCUGAAUAUUAACCAGCAAAGGUAGAUGCUUCAAUAUCGAAACCACCGGGACCCGCAUGUGCAAAGCUACUUAAUGAGGGUGUAAUCAAACACAGUCUACCAGAAGGAAAUUAAUUAGAGUCCGGAGAGCAAGCAGGAAGCAGAACCAGGCUGCUCCCCCUCCUGGCUCUAGAAC
rnacentral:lncRNA from 1 species